UAGGGAAUCUUCGGCAAUGGACGAAAGUCUGACCGAGCAACGCCGCGUGAGUGAAGAAGGUUUUCGGAUCGUAAAACUCUGUUGUUAGAGAAGAACAAGGACGUUAGUAACUGAACGUCCCCUGACGGUAUCUAACCAGAAAGCCACGGCUAACUACGUGCCAGCAGCCGCGGUAAUACGUAGGUGGCAAGCGUUGUCCGGAUUUAUUGGGCGUAAAGCGAGCGCAGGCGGUUUCUUAAGUCAGAUGUGAAAUCCUCGGGCUCAACCUGGGAACGGCAUCUGAUACUGGCAAGCUUGAGUCUCGUAGAGGGGGGUAGAAUUCCAGGUGUAGCGGUGAAAUGCGUAGAGAUCGGGAGGAAUACCGGUGGGGAAGGCGGCCCCCUGGACGAAGACGGACGCUCAGGUGCGAAAGCGUGGGGAGCAAACAGG
rnacentral:rRNA from 1 species